rnacentral:rRNA from 1 species
CACGUAGGCACCAAGCGUUUGUCCGGAUUUAUUGGGCGUAAAGAGCUCGUAGGCGGUUUGUCACGUCUGCUGUGAAAUCCCGAGGCUCAACCUCGGGCCUGCAGUGGGUACGGGCAGACUGGAGUGCGGUAGGGGAGACUGGAAUUCCUGGUGUAGCGGUGAAAUGCGCAGAUAUCAGGAGGAACACCGGUGGCGAAGGCGGGUCUCUGGGCCGAUGACUGACGCUGAGGAGCGAAAGCGUGGGGAGCGAACAGG